CGAACGGGUGAGUAAUGCGUGACCAACCUGCCCCAUGCUACAGAAUAGCUCUUGGAAACGGGUGGUAAUGCUGGAUGCUCCAACUUGACGCAUGUCUUGUUGGGAAAGUGUUUAGUGGCAUGGGAUGGGGUCGCGUCCUAUCAGCUUGUAGGCGGGGUAAUGGCCCACCUAGGCUUCGACGGGUAGCCGGCCUGAGAGGGCGGACGGCCACAUUGGGACUGAGAUACGGCCCAGACUCCUACGGGAGGCAGCAGGG
rnacentral:rRNA from 1 species